UUGGAUCCACGCACGAAGUGCGCGCACACACUGGCCAUCUCUUACUCAAUCGUCUCACGCCCGUGCCGGUGACCAGUGACACCGUUAAACGCGACCAUUAUUUCGAAUGCGCCCCGCAGGUCGGAUAUUUCCGUGGUGACCGUAGAUAGACCCGAUGGAUCGCACCGUUAACGGCGAAACGCACUCCCGCAGUGGAACGCAUUACCACGUAUCCAAUGUUGUGCUAUCUUUUCGUCGCAGUGAAAUGCACGCGUCAGUGAUUCUCAACUUUUAUCGAUUACGGUUGUUUUGUCAUAUUGGUUGAGGAGUGAUUAUGUUGGACAAUUUGACAGAAGAGUGAGCGAAUUUGACGAUUGUGACCGUGAUAAGAGAUACGACGAAAUAGCUGCGAGGAUUUGUAAAGAGGCGAUUUUAUUGCGCGAUCAUGUCGGUUUGGUAGGGUACUUGGAAUCCAGAUAGAGAAAGAUGUGCUAAAAUAAUAGCAAAAUCAAAAUAUGAACACUAUCUUUGAGGUGGUUUUACUGAAAAUAUAAUAAAACUUGGUAUAAAAACUAAAUUACCUUCUAAGUUAAUACUUUUAGGGAUUCACAACAUGUAAAUUCUAGGAAGCAUUUAGUUAAAUACGUAAGAUGCAUGUUUAAUUAAUUGCCGAUUAUUUGUAGUAGUACAACUCUGAGCAAGUAAAGCCUUAUAAAUAUUCCGAUAAAUGUCACGCUACGCUAAUUUCUUCCUCUUUCUAUGAAAUUGUAAACGACGGUAAAAUCUAAUAUUUCUUAAGGAAUGAAAAUUUCUAAUUAAUGAGCAAAUCAAUUGUUAAAUUUUGGAAUUCCUUAUAGUUCUGAAUAAAUAUAGUAAAUGAAUAGUGAGUACAGCCAUGGACAAUACUUUGAAAAAAUAGGGACUGCAACGAAGUUGACGGUCGAGCGCCAUGGCUAUUGACAUAUUGUCAGGGCUAACAGAAGGCAGGUCGACCGGUGAGGUGUCGAAUCGCGAAGUGGACGUUACGAAACUGCAUAUGCAAGAUGUUUGCUAAAGCAGAGGUACACGAUAGUCGGCAGAACGCACGGAAGCUUUAAAAUUACCACUUACGCGUACUUGCGCUAACAGAUAAACGCCGUCCAGUAUUUACCGAUUCACGGUUCGGUAAAUACUUCGACGUCACUAAAAGUCAGCCAUGUACGCUCGCUUAUGUGUUGCAUGUAUAAACAGAUUACAGAUGAUCACGGUGAAUUAAGGAAGACAGGAACACGAAAAGCACGCCCUGUUACGUAUAUCUCAUCACGGAUACGAUGAUUAAAAAUAAUCAUAAUUGCGAUCGAGAAGAUUAAGAUGAAUCUCUGAAGUUUACUACUAUCACGCGCCGGCGAUAAUGUGUUCGUUGAAACCAAAACCUGAACGAUUUUCAUUCAGAUUUUAUGCUUUCGUUGAUGUUAAGGAAUAUUACCAUAAGAAGAAGUUCCCUUCAAUAAACUUCAAUUCUCUCUUGAAUGUAGUAAUAAUUGCCGUAUAUGUAUGUACUUCAAAUAAGAAUAAACGUGUGUUGCAAGGUUAUCUAUAUUUAA